rnacentral:rRNA from 1 species
GACGAACGCUGGCGGCGUGCUUAACACAUGCAAGUCGAACGGAAAGGCCCUGCUUUUGUGGGGUGCUCGAGUGGCGAACGGGUGAGUAACACGUGAGUAACCUGCCCUUGACUUUGGGAUAACUUCAGGAAACUGGGGCUAAUACCGGAUAGGAGCUCCUGCUGCAUGGUGGGGGUUGGAAAGUUUCGGCGGUUGGGGAUGGACUCGCGGCUUAUCAGCUUGUUGGUGGGGUAGUGGCUUACCAAGGCUUUGACGGGUAGCCGGCCUGAGAGGGUGACCGGCCACAUUGGGACUGAGAUACGGCCCAGACUCCUACGGGAGGCAGCAGUGGGGAAUAUUGCACAAUGGGCGCAAGCCUGAUACAGCAACGCCGCGUGCGGGAUGACGGCCUUCGGGUUGUAAACCGCCUUCGCCUGUGACGAAGCGUGAGUGACGGUAAUGGGUAAAGAAGCACCGGCUAACUACGUG